AGCAGCCGCGGUAAUUCCAGCUCCAAUAGCGUAUAUUAAAGUUGUUGCAGUUAAAAAGCUCGUAGUUGAAUUUCGGGACCAAUCUGCCGGUCGUGCCUCCGGUACGCACUGGUUUUAUUGGUUUCUCCCUUCUGACGAACCAUGAUGUCAUUAAUUUGGUGUCAUGGGGAAUCAGGACUGUUACUUUGAAAAAAUUAGAGUGUUUAUAGCAGGCUCACGCUUGAAUACAUUAGCAUGGAAUAAUGAAAUAGGACGUUUGACCCUAUUUUGUUGGUUUCUAGGAUCGACGUAAUGAUUAAUAGGGAUAGUUGGGGGCAUUAGUAUUCAAUUGUCAGAGGUGAAAUUCUUGGAUUUAUUGAAGACCAACUACUGCGAAAGUCAUUUGCCAAGGAUGUUUUCAUUAAUCAAGAACGAAAGUUAGGGGAUCGAAGACGAUCAGAUACCGUCGUAGUCUUAACCAUAAACUAUGCCGACUAGGGAUCGGAUGAUGUUAAUUUUUAAUGACUCAUUCGGCGCCUUA
rnacentral:rRNA from 1 species